UUUGUGCUCCCUCCGUCCCAAAAUUCUUGUCUUAAAUUUUUCUAAAUAUGGAUGUCUCUAGUUACAUUUUAGUAUUAGAUAUAUCCGUAGCUAAACAAAUGUAAGACAAGAAUUUUGGGACGGAGGGAAUACUAC
rfam:Triticum aestivum genome assembly, contig: Triticum_aestivum_CS42_TGACv1_scaffold_131536_2BL